AGUUGGGCACUCUAAAGAGACUGCCGGUGUCAAACCGGGAGGAAGGUGGGGAUGACGUCAAGUCCUCAUGGCCUUUAUGACCAGGGCUACACACGUACUACAAUGGCCGGUACAAAGGGCAGCCACUUAGCGAUAAGGAGCCAAUCCCGUAAAGCCGGUCUCAGUCCGGAUUGGAGUCUGCAACUCGACUCCAUGAAGUUGGAAUCGCUAGUAAUCGCAGAUCAGCACGCUGCGGUGAAUACGUUCCCGGGCCUU
rnacentral:rRNA from 1 species